rnacentral:lncRNA from 1 species
GCUCGCGACUCCCUUACCAUGGUCAGAAUCAACAACAGCAGCAGCCGCAGACGAAGGCUCUACAAAAAAGUGACAACAACUGGGUGUGAGAACUACUGUCAAACAGAGUAGUCCUUAGUGGGUACCGUCACUCACCCUAACGCCCUACCCACUAAGGGCCUAUUUGGAUGCACAGUAAAAAAUCUCCACAGGAUUUAUAAACUGUGGUUUUGGUCCAAAUGAAAUAGGAAAUCCUGUAACUCUAAAAAAAUUCAACGGGUUCAAUUUUUAAACUGUUUGGAUACGCAUUGUGUAAUUU